rnacentral:rRNA from 1 species
UCAGUCGACUCCUACGGGGAGGCAGCAGUGGGGGAAUAUUGCACAAUGGGCGCAAGCCUGAUGCAGCCAUGCCGCGUGUAUGAAGAAGGCCUUCGGGUUGUAAAGUACUUUCAGCAGUGAGGAAGGCAGGUACGUUAAUAGCGUGCUUGUUUGACGUUAGCUGCAGAAGAAGCACCGGCUAACUCCGUGCCAGCAGCCGCGGUAAUACGGAGGGUGCGAGCGUUAAUCGGAAUUACUGGGCGUAAAGCGCAUGCAGGUGGUUUGUUAAGUCAGAUGUGAAAGCCCGGGGCUCAACCUCGGAAUUGCAUUUGAAACUGGCAGACUAGAGUACUGUAGAGGGGGGUAGGAAUUUCAGGUGUAGCGGUGAAAUGCGUAGAGAUCUGAAGGAAUACCGGUGGCGAAGGCGGCCCCCUGGACAGAUACUGACACUCAGAUGCGAAAGCGUGGGGAGCAAACAGGAUUAGAUACCCUGGUAG